AACGAACGCUGGCGGCAUGCCUAACACAUGCAAGUCGAACGAGACCUUCGGGUCCUGUGGCGUACGGGGGCGUAACGCGUGGGAACCUGCCCUCAUGUUCGGAAUAACUCCCCGACAGGGGUGCUAAUAGCGGAUCAUGUCUUCUGACCAAAGAUUUAUCGACUUAGGUUGGGCCGGCGUUGGAUUAGCUAGUUGGUAGGGUAAAAGGUUAUCACGGCGCGGAUUCAUAGCUGGUUUGAGAGGAUGGUCAGCCACACUGAGACUGAGACGCGGCCCAGACUCCUACGCGAUGCAGCAGUGCGGGAUAGUGGACAAUGGGCGAAAGGCUGAUCCAGCUAUGCCGGGUGAGUGAUGAAGGCCUUAGAGUUGUAAAGCUCUUUUAACCGGGAUGAUAAUGACGGUACCGGGAGAAAAAGCCCCGGCUAACUCCGUG
rnacentral:rRNA from 1 species